GCUUAUUUCAUCAAUCACUCCAUUGAGUCUUCCUUUCUGAAUGACAUGUCACUAUGGAAACAGUGGCAUUAAUUUAGGAGCAUAUAUAAGAGGAAGUGUGAAAAGAGAACCAUAGUUGGUACAUUGCACUGAAACAUACUAUGGUUGGUUUGGAUUUAGUAUGAUUCUGAGUGUAUAUGUGUGCAAAAGACACUCCCUAGACUUUAUCAAAAGUAUGAAUCAAAAUGGAAACAGCAACCAUUGAGCUGUAAUAAGAGUAACUCCAUGCACUUAGAAUUAGGUUAUGAGUUAAGUAGAAAAUCACAAGGGAAAAUAAUUGUAAUAAUUUAAAACUACUGUUGUGGUUACAUGAAAAUGAUUUUGACUUCCAAUUAAAUACAAGCACAGGGAUUAAACAACUACCAUUAAUUAUAGAAAUGACAUAAUCCAAACUAGUCAAUAUUGUAAUUUCUUGGAUAUCAUGUAUGCUAGUAUUGGUUUUUAUUACAUUUAAAUCCCAGUGUUACAGUUCAAUUUAAUAUAUUACCUUAAUGAAAGCAUAAUUGCUGUCUAUAUAUGAUGUUGUCCAUUUAAUGCUUUUUUUUCAACAGGAUUUAUGCAUUACCUAUUAAUAUAUUCCCAUCUCAAAAAUACUAUUUAAUUUUAUCUAUGUGAAUAUCUUUCCUCUCUAAAAAGGGAAAUAAAGUCCACUCUUAUUUUUUUCUCAUCAUAUUAAAUGAACAUAUGAAUGGUUUCUGCCUUGAAUCUCAUUUUAUUUAUUUUUCACAUUUCUGAGCCACCUAUGUCCCUCAGAGAAAUACUCUAUGUACAAUAAAAUCAUGUGAUAAUAACAAACAACAUAAUGGUAGCAACUAUAUAACUGUGAUAUCAAUAAAAGGACAAUAUUUAUUUUAACAUAUUUUAUAAGUUAAUUGGAUUAUAUUUAUUUUAUGAUGCCACACAACACUUUCUGUGUUUAGUAACUGAACAAAGAAAGCAUAUUAAUCUGAAAAAUGGAACAGCAUGCCAAAAUUGACUCAGAACAGAAACCUGUGGAUUUCACAGUGGGAAACUGGUUCAGUAAAUUAAGAACUCACAAUGCUGCCAUUCUGGUUUCCAUUCACUAAAGCCAGCAUUCCCAACAAUAUACCUUAUAUAUUACUUGUCACCAUGUCUUAUUUUUAAAAUCCUGGCUAUCUUACAAGUGUUCAAAAGCAGUAUUCUAGCACAGACCUUCCAUAACAAUACUUAGCUGAAGGUUUUCUUUUACUUUUUGACAGUAUGGUUUUUAAAUAUACAUUACAUUUUAACAUUUCAACUUUCUUCUGCAUAGAAUCUUGGAGAGAAUCUUGGAAGCAUUUCUAUAUAGGACAGGUUUACAAAAGAAUCUAAUAUGGUUGCAGUUUUCUGUAAAUGAUUAUAAGCAUGAAAGACAAGCACCUUCCAUGCCAGAUUACUGGGAACAGAAAACAUUUCCUAUGGAAAGUAUAUAGAACGGCUGCAUAUUAUUCAUUUCUGAAUACUGUAAUUCUUCUGAUUUGUGGUGUGAAUAGGAAAACAAAGGGCUUUAAUGGAGCUGUUUAUAUUAAAUGCAGGACACACACAAUUCUGGAAAUCAUAACUUUCCUUCCUAAAAUCAGUUUACUGUACUUAUAAAUAGCUAUGAGAGCUUGUUACCAACUAAGUGACACAUGGAAAAGUAAAUUCAGGUUGCAUUAUUCAUAUUAUCAAAAUAUUGAAAUCUCUUUACAUUUUGUGGAAUUUACUGUAGUACCUGACAAUAUGACACAAUCAUAUGAAAAUAUAGUCCAAACUCCUUGUUGAUGGGUAAAAUCCAUUACUACAGCAACCUGAAGCAGGCCAAUUUGGUUUUACAAAGCUGUAAUAAGUAAGAGUCUUCCACUUUCAAAGGUAGCCUGUUUUUAUUCUGGAAUGGACCUUAUCACCAUGUACACAUUCUUCAUGGAUAAUCAACCUUUUUUUUUUUACUUUACUGAUCAGAAAAAAAGUUGGAAUACUUUUUUUUCUCUUUCCUAUUAUCCCACACCUUUCUUUUCCUCCAUUUCUCUAUCAUCUUUAUUUUCAUUUGUAUUUUAUAUUAUGAUAAUCUCAAUAAAAUGUAUAUUAUAAUGGAUAAACUAACCAUUUUACUGAAUUGUAUCAACUUGGUACAAGUUUUUAAAAAUAUACCAACUGGGCUAUCAGAAAACAUUUUCUUCAUUUACAUCAGAGGCACAAGUUUCUAUCAUGGAAAUUGCGUUCUUUUAAAAAAUAAAUUGUGACAGGAAGAUCCAGGACAUAUUUUAACCCAUUGGGUAGCUGAAUAAUUUAGUUAUUUUGUUUUGCAGUUUAAAUUACAUUAAGCCCAUUCAAUUGUACAACUUUAAUAACAAAAAUCUAACAAAUACCAAAGUCAAACUGAAAUAACUGAGCUUGACUUCUGUACUAGAAAUCAAUAAAACUAUACUGAAAGAACAGACUAAGAAAUUGCUGGUUU